GACGAACGCUGGCGGCGUGCCUAAUACAUGCAAGUAGAACGCUGAAGAGAGGAGCUUGCUCUUCUUGGAUGAGUUGCGAACGGGUGAGUAACGCGUAGGUAACCUGCCUUGUAGCGGGGGAUAACUAUUGGAAACGAUAGCUAAUACCGCAUAACAAUGGAUGACACAUGUCAUUUAUUUGAAAGGGGCAAUUGCUCCACUACAAGAUGGACCUGCGUUGUAUUAGCUAGUAGGUGAGGUAAUGGCUCACCUAGGCGACGAUACAUAGCCGACCUGAGAGGGUGAUCGGCCACACUGGGACUGAGACACGGCCCAGACUCCUACGGGAGGCAGCAGUAGGGAAUCUUCGGCAAUGGGGGCAACCCUGACCGAGCAACGCCGCGUGAGUGAGGAAGGUUUUCGGAUCGUAAAGCUCGGUUGUAAGUCAAGAACGGGUGUGAGAGUGGAAAGUUCACACUGUGACGGUGGCUUACCAGAAAGAGACGGCUAACUACGUG
rnacentral:rRNA from 1 species